rnacentral:sRNA from 1 species
AAACAUAGAAACAAAC